UGUGCUGUGAGGAGGAAGGGACAGGCGGUUGUGUGAGGGACAGACAGGGUUAGGUGGCUGUGCUGGGGACAGGGAAGAGUGAUUUGGAACUGCAGAGAAGAAGGAGAGGAAGAGACAGAGCUGUGUGGAGCUGCCCAUGGGAGGCUGCAUAGAAACGGUAAUCUGAAAUCAGGACGGAGAAACACAGGCAAUGCUUCAGAUCCUGAGUAAGCUCAGCAUUACUUAAGGGCUGGCAACCCCUAGACCACAAGUUCCACUCUUCCUUACGGAUGUUACCACAAGGAACUGCACCUCUCUGUACUCUUGGCAACAAUGGCACAACAGGCACUAGAAGCCUGGAGAGCUCUCUGACUUUAUAUUUAUUUAGCAUCACUGUUUUAACGUGAGCAAUCACAUACAUCCAGCUUCAAAAGUGUUGCUGCAGCGGCUGUUUCAGGAGGUCUGUGCAGAACUUGGAGCAGAGCCCUUCUCCCAGAGUGCAGAAAAAUGGGUGAGCGCUCUCAAGGAAGCCUGGAUGCAGUUAGUAGUUUCAGCUUUACCUUUCCAAUCCAGCUAAGGCUCCUCUGAAGCUGCCACAGGCAGAUUCCCCACGAUUUCUGGCAGAGGCUCUCUGGCUGAUGUUUGUUCCAUUAUUAAUGGCACGGGCUCCGAGGAACCCUUUGGAGGAGGCUGUCCCUGUGUGUCCCCUCUGGCUGGUGGCCCUGGCCCUGCCACAGCUCUCCGACCACUGGCACCGCUCCUGCGCCAGCCCGACAUCCUCAUCCCACGAACUUUUCAUUUCUGGGAGCUGGCGCCACUCCCAGAUGAACCUGACUGAGUAAGAAGCACAGCUGCUGAGGACAGGCAGCACAAACACCGAGAUAUUCGAAAGCGGUUUGUAAUAAUUAAGGUGUCUGUUAACCUCCACGGCUUUAAAUAACCUUUCAGUGGAACGUGGGCAAGCACAUUCCUCUCCAGGCUGCCAAGCAUCUAUGCACUGCAAACAACCUGCAGCCUUAUACAGUUAUUUGCUCUGGUUUAUUGGUCACACUUUCACAGGAAAAGCCUGCAGGUCUCUGCUUGUCCCCAGCCUUGCUGAGGGUGAGAGCUGCGGUGAGCUAAGCCGACACCUCUGCUGCAGAGGUGGGAGCCUGCAGUGGUUACAUUUGAUCUGCUCAUUCAGUGGAAAGCAGUAAUACCUGUUCUGACAUUUUGGUGCAUUUAUUUCACUUCUUCAUCGGUACUGAUUUUACCCUUUUCCAGUGCCCUUUUAUGUUUAUUUAUUUUAGGAAACAUAAUCUGUAUUGUAAACACUCUUGGAUUUGUAAAUAGCUUUGCUAAUAGGAUUUCCUUUCAAUGGCAUAUUAUAAAUUUUAGACUAACUGUGAGAUUUGAGUUGUUUUCCCAGGACCAAUGUAAUAAAAGAUACUACUUCAAUUGUCAUUUAAAUCUUGUUACAUUUCACUUACGUUUUUCCAGUUUCCCUUAGCACUGCUGCUUAGAAAAGGCAAAAAAUCUAUGCAUCUGUCUGUCUGUAUAUUGUCAAGUCACGCCGUGUGCCUACUCUGAAUAAAGACACUGUCACAGGUCCUGUAAUCAGCAUCAAGGCAAUAAUGAAUAGGAAAAUCUUGUGACGAUGAUCACGAUUAACAAAAGGAAGUGUAAAUAAUCUACAGUGCCUAAAGCUCACAUUUUUUUGCAGAGUGGAUUUGCAAGUGCGCUAUAAGCCGGAUCCUUUUCUUAUUGAGGUCAGCAGCAAAACUCCUGCUAAUCCCAGCUGAAACAAAAUCAUUCUGCCAGCUUGAUGUUUAUAGAAAUGUCUAUUACCUUCAUGGAGAUUCUCCCGCUACGGCUUUUUGUAUUAGAGCCUGCAACUUCAUCUAAAGCAAACAUGACCUGAGGAAUGAAAUCUUACUCAUAUCAAAUAAAAAGCUGUUAUUCUGAAAUAGCUAGCAAUAAAUUUUGUCAAUUAAUCUGCUGGCAAAUAUUUAAUACUCACAGGUCCAAAAGAAUCAGUGAAUCCAGGGAGGGAAAGGCUGGGCACAUCUGAGCACUUGCACUGGGAAGGAGCCGGCAGUGACUCUCUGGUGCCAAGCCUGAUAAAGGUGCACC